rfam:Sporisorium reilianum SRZ2 chromosome 15 complete DNA sequence
GUCUUCGUGGCCUAGUUGGUUAGGGCGUAGGUCUCAUACCAACGAUCCUGUUACACAGGAAUCAACCUACGGACAUUCUUGUUCAGAAAUCCUAAGAUCGUGAGUUCGACUCUCGCCGAGGACA